UACAGAGGGUGCGAGCGUUGUUCGGAAUUACUGGGCGUAAAGCGCGCGCAGGCGGCCUUUUAAGUCUGCUGGUGAAAUCCCCGGGCUUAACCUGGGAAUGGCAUUUGGGACUGCAAGGCUUGAGUGCGGCAGAGGAGACUGGAAUUCCCGGUGUAGCAGUGAAAUGCGUAGAUAUCGGGAGGAAUACCGAUGGCGAAGGCAGGUCUCUGGGCUGACACUGACGCUCAUGCACGAAAGCGUGGGGAGCAAACAGG
rnacentral:rRNA from 1 species